GAAGUCAGCUCAACUUCAGUGUAGAAGGUUGGUGUAUGAUAAAAUUUUACAUUAAUUUUUAGUUGGUCACAACUAAAACUCACAAAUCCAUUUCGGAAAUCUAGAUCUAAAAGACAACAUUGAAUUAAUGUUUAAAAAGCCAUACUAAUUGUAUAUGUCAGGUAGAAAUCUUAGUCUGAAAUUGAUGAAUAAUUCAAAUGCUAUUUUUUUUUGUCUGAAAUCUAUACUAAACCAUUGGAACAGCUUAGCUCAGCUAACUCUAAUCCUUAAGUUGGAUAUGCCCAGUAGUUGUAGGAAUGCCAUCAAGGAUUUAUCCGUUGGGUUAAGCUUGAAAGCUCAAACAUUGAGUGUUUAUAUUUAAGAGCUUCUUCCUUCCAUGCUAUUGGAGAAUAUAGAGAAGCGGUGAAGGAUUAUGAUGCUGCUUUGGAUUUGGAACUGAACUCCAUGGAAAAAUUCGUGCUUCAAUGCUUGGCCUUCUAUCAGUUUUUUGCAACAAUUCCUGGCACCAUUGAGAAUGGCAUACCUAUCGAUAAAGGAAAAUUAUUAAAGUCAUUCUAGAGUAAUUUAUGGAAUUACUUAUUUAGUAAUGUUGACAAAUGAGAAACCACAUAACACUCUAAAUGAGUUACAUAUGGAGAAAAGAGGGUAUUAAUGUUGUGGUAUAAAAGGAAACCAUGGAACAGGUGUCAGAGAACAAAUUUCCUUUCAA